AAACUAUCAACUCCUAGCAGUACAUCCAUUAUGUGUCUCAACCUAAUAAAUUUUGUGACUCCUCACAAAAACUGCCUUGAUCAAGGUCUUACUAAAUUAAAACACAAAGAAUUCUCUCCAAUCUCUUGGAUUGCUCAAUUCCAUCUUGACUCAUGGAUCAACAUAUCAAUUUCAUCUUGACUCAUGCAUUGACUUCACAAGUACUUGACUGUGCCUAGAAACCUUCCAACUCUGAAUUAAAAAUUUAGGUAGUCUGAUACCAAAGUAUAGUGAGUUGUUUGCAAGUCAUCGUGAUGAUC
rnacentral:lncRNA from 1 species